ACGGGAGAAUUGUAAACCGGAAGAUACCGUGUCCUGCCAGAGAGCACUCGUCGUCACAAGUUUUCAGUGUUUGAAGAGAGAAGAUCAAGAUACAUAUUUAAGACAAAAGGCAUCAAUUACGAUCGUUUAAAUAACUUGCCCAGAGCACAGCAUCUCAUGUACAGCAUGAAGUUUUCAGCUAUCAAGAUUUCUAGAGACUCCAGAAUGAAAACCAAGCCAUGCACUGCAAAAAAAUGAAUGUCUUUCUUAGUUUUCUUUUGUCUUGUUUUCUCAUAUUAAUAUCUGAAAAUUCUUAAAUUGAGAUGCACUG